CGAGAAAGCCCGCAAGGGUGAGUAAACCGGCGAACGGGUGCGUAACACGUGGAUAAUCUACCUUCCUGACUGGGACAACUGGCCGAAAGGCUUGCUAAUACCAGAUAAGCCCACGGCGUCUUUGGACGCUGAGGGAAAAGGUGGCCUCUGCAUGCAAGCUAUCGCAGGGAGAUGAGUCCGCGGCCCAUCGGCUAGUUGGCGGGGUAAAAGCCCACCAAGGCUACGACGGGUAGCUGGUCUGAGAGGAUGAUCAGCCACACUGGAACUGAGACACGGUCCAGACUCCUACGGGAGGCAGCAGUGGGGAAUCUUGCGCAAUGGGCGAAAGCCUGACGCAGCAACGCCGCGUGUGCGAUGAAGGUCUUCGGAUCGUAAAGCACUGUCGCGAGGGACG
rnacentral:rRNA from 1 species